rnacentral:rRNA from 1 species
AUUGAACGCUGGCGGCAUGCCUUACACAUGCAAGUCGAACGGUAACAGGUCUUCGGAUGCUGACGAGUGGCGAACGGGUGAGUAAUACAUCGGAACGUGCCCGAUCGUGGGGGAUAACGAAGCGAAAGCUUUGCUAAUGCCGCAUACGAUCUACGGAUGAAAGCAGGGGACCGCAAGGCCUUGCGCGGACGGAGCGGCCGAUGGCAGAUUAGGUAGUUGGUGGGAUAAAAGCUUACCAAGCCGACGAUCUGUAGCUGGUCUGAGAGGACGACCAGCCACACUGGGACGGAGACACGGCCCAGACUCCUACGGGAGGCAGCAGUUGGGAAUUUUGGACAAUGGGCGCAAGGCUGAUCCAGCCAUGCCGCGUGCAGGAUGAAGGCCUUCGGGUUGUAAACUGCUUUCGUACGGAACGAAAAGACUCUGGUUAAUACCUGGGGUUCAUGACGGUACCGUAAGAAUAAGCACCGGCUAACUACGUGCCAGCCGCCGCGGUAA